rnacentral:rRNA from 1 species
GACGAACGCUGGCGGCGUGCUUAACACAUGCAAGUCGAACGGUAAGGCCCUUCGGGGUACACGAGUGGCGAACGGGUGAGUAACACGUGGGUGAUCUGCCCUGCACUUCGGGAUAAGCCUGGGAAACGGGGUCUAAUACCGGAUAGGACUCCGGACUGCAUGGUCUGGGGUGGAAAGCGUUUGCGGUGUGGGAUGGGCCCGCGGCCUAUCAGCUUGUUGGUGGGGUGAUGGCCUACCAAGGCGACGACGGGUAGCCGGCCUGAGAGGGUGGCCGGCCACACUGGGACUGAGAUACGGCCCAGACUCCUACGGGAGGCAGCAGUGGGGGAUAUUGCACAAUGGGCGCAAGCCUGAUGCAGCGACGCCGCGUGAGGGAUGACGGCCUUCGGGUUGUAAACCUCUUUCAGCAUCGACGAAGCGAAAGUGACGGUAGGUGCAGAAGAAGGACCGGCCAACUACGUGCCAGCAGCCGCAGUAA